UGGAUCGGUCGCAGCUCGCUUCCUCGCCGGCUGUUCGUUGACCGCGUUCACCGGUUACCGCACCUGAUCGCCGAUUUAUUUCCAUUCCCGUCGUCCGCGGAUUUCUUUGUUCGAAGAAAGCCAAGUCGAGCAAAGUCCACCAAACACAGCCUUCCAUUCCGAACACAGCGUUUCAUAAUUCUAGAAAGAAUCGAGGAAACGAAUUUCCUCCCUCUUUCGAUCGAUUCUUCGGAGGAAUCAUUCGAACGAUGGUCGUAUUUUAAUUUCGACGCUCUCUGCCCCAAGCAUCGAUUCUUAAAAAGAGAAAAACGAUUCGAGUCAAAACGGUGAUUUGAUUUUCGUCAUUCGUAUCAUCAAUUCGUAUUCUUCUUUAUUCUUCUCUCACUCGCACGUUCAACUACACGCUCAAACCCACGCUCGUGAUACGUAUAUCAUCCAGGAGAAGGUGGAGAGACCGGUCCACGAUUAUGAUGCGCUGGUAGUUUGAAGUUGGCGUAAUAACAGGCCUCGAACGCGUGCUCCACCGAUGAGAAUGCGCCGCAGGGUUAGAAACGUCGAUUCCUCCGCUUCGAUUAGUAGUUACCGGCCCUAGAACCGUCGACCAUCCACCUCGAGAUAGUUUCAGUUAUCGUCUAUAAAGUGCUAACGCCCGAUCCUACGCUCGUUCCACGGAUCGAGUUCUCGUUACGCCGCACGCACGAUCACGCUCUUACCUUUAUUAUAUCCGACCAGAAGAAGAGGAUCACCUCUUCCUCGAUCGCAAAAAACUCCGAGCUCGUGUAAUUACCGCGUAAAUCUAGCCGAUUUGCAUAUACCAACGGUCCAUUGGAUCGCACUAACGACAUUUUCUCACGCGUUUCGUUAUUCCACGUGUAUUCGGAAUCCGAGAAGUAGAUCCGACUCGGUCAAUCAUUCUUUAACAGUUUAAUCGAAGCUCCAGGAUUAAUACACUCGAUUUUCUUGUUCUACGAAUUUUACUCGAAAAAGAAAACGUGAAAAAUAACGCGAUACAAAAUUUGUUUUAGAAAAGAAACGUUCCGUACGCGAGUAAACGCAAGGACGCACAGUGUUUGAAAAAUUAUCAACAGCAACGUUCCCUUUGUCUUAUCUCUCUUUCGUCGCUCUCGAAUAAACAAACACUCGCGCGUACGCGUGAGUCACACAUAUUCUCCUUCUCCCCUCUUACAGGAUAAACAUUCACCAUUCGUGCUACGUACUCUCGUCAGUAUACACAACGAUUUUGAACUUCGCAGUUCACGCCUUUUACGCAGCUCUCUGCUCGAAUAGAAAAUCGAUAUCCAGAAUCGAACUUUGCUCGAUUCUUGUGCGGUGUGGCCUCGAACGUGUUAAUCCGUCCGAAUGGAUCGAUCGAGAGGUGCAUACCAUUCCUUGGAACGACGCUCGAAAUGGACCUUGGAGGAAUUUGCAGCUCGGACAACGGGGAAUCGUAAGCCGGCCGUUACAUCCCGCGACCACGUUUCAGAUUCAACGGAUGGAGGGGCGGAUAAAAGGAGGAUGGUCGAUUGGAUGGUCGUGGAUAAACGGGUCGAAUCUACGCACGAGCGGAGAGUCGAAACGGUAGUAGGCCCAAGAUAAAUUUACGAAAGGACCGGUGUACAGGAGGGCGGACGCGAGCAAAGUCGGGCCAACCUUAAUUCGAUUCCGUGCCAGAGAAAAAUUAACUUCUCUGUACUGUGAGGAGAAUUUUACCAAAAAAAAAAAAAUUGUGAAAAAUACAUCGAUCGAGAUAAAAGU